rnacentral:rRNA from 1 species
AUGCCAAAUAGGAAUGCCAAUGAGGUUGUGCUGCUUCUUUUCAUACUGUGCUUCUUUUCAUACUCAGUUUGUAUCGGCAAUUUUUGUAAGAACAUAUGUGCUAUAGCAAAUGUAGUGGAGCAGGUAUCCAACCAAUCACCUGCCAUUUGCUACUGCUAUAACAAAUGCAGUCUUAUCUACUGCUUCUGUGAAUCUUUUGUUCGAGUACAAAUGAUGAAAUGUGGGCGUUUAGUUUAUAAGAAAAUGCCAUUGCGGCAAGACUCUCAACAGUGUAUGCUUUACAUUGCUCUGCUAAUGACCAUGAGCAGCCUGACCAUGAUCUUUUAA